rnacentral:lncRNA from 1 species
GGUCAACUCUAGCCUUAUAAAAAAUCUCUAACCUUUAUUUUUUAUUUUUUAUUUUACUUUCAUUUUGGAUUUAUUUAGAAAACACAUCCAACUACUUAACAUCAAGAGACAUGUUUUUUAUAAAUGAUAUAGUCAUGCAUCCAACUACUUAACAUCAGUAGACAUGUUUUUUUAUAUAUGACAUAGUCAUGCAUAAAAGAAUUUAAUGGGAGGUUGAAUAUUU